rnacentral:rRNA from 1 species
CCUACGGGUGGCUGCAGUGGGGAAUAUUGCAUAAUGGGCGCAAGCCUGAUGCAGCCAUGCCGCGUGUGUGAAGAAGGCCUUCGGGUUGUAAAGCACUUUCAGCGGGGAGGAAGGCGGUGAGGUUAAUAACCUCAUCGAUUGACGUUACCCGCAGAAGAAGCACCGGCUAACUCCGUGCCAGCAGCCGCGGUAAUACGGAGGGUGCAAGCGUUAAUCGGAAUUACUGGGCGUAAAGCGCACGCAGGCGGUCUGUCAAGUCGGAUGUGAAAUCCCCGGGCUCAACCUGGGAACUGCAUUCGAAACUGGCAGGCUAGAGUCUUGUAGAGGGGGGUAGAAUUCCAGGUGUAGCGGUGAAAUGCGUAGAGAUCUGGAGGAAUACCGGUGGCGAAGGCGGCCCCCUGGACAAAGACUGACGCUCAGGUGCGAAAGCGUGGGGAGCAAACAGGAUUAGAUACCCGGGUAGUC